rnacentral:rRNA from 1 species
GACGAACGCUGGCGGCGUGCCUAAUACAUGCAAGUCGAACGCAGUGGGGAUGGGUGAGUAACACGUGGGUAACCUCCCAUCAGAGGGGAUAACACUUGGAAACAGGUGCUAAACCGAUACUGGUGGAUGGAACCGCUGUGCAUUAGCUAGUUGGUGGGGUAACGGCUCACCAAGGCCACGAUGCAUAGCCGGCCUGAGAGGGGGAUCGGCCACACUGGGACUGAGACACGGCCCAGACUCCUACGGGAGGCAGCAGUGGGGAAUAUUGCACAAUGGGCGCAAGCCUGAUGCAGCCAUGCCGCGUGUAUGAAGAAGGCCUUCGGGUUGUAAAGUACUUUCAGCGGGGAGGCGUUACCCGCAGAAGAAGCACCGGCUAACUCCGUGCCAGCCGCCGCGGUAAUAC